rnacentral:lncRNA from 1 species
AUCUAAACGGACAUUUAUCUAAACACAUAAAAACCUAAACGUGUUUAGAAUUUAAACGUGUUUCAGGGUUAUUAUCAGUGAAUGUUAUCAUUAAGCUAAACAUUAAAUGGCAUCUAAACACUUCUGAAACACUUUCCUAAACACCUAAACACUUUAUAAUAUUUCAGUACUGGUUUCACCUUUGUAUUCGAUGUUCCUACAUA